CCUACGGGAGGCAGCAGUGGGGAAUAUUGCACACUUGGGGAAACCCUGAUGCAGCGACGCCGCGUGAGUGAAGCAGUAUUUCGGUAUGUAAAGCUCUAUCAGCAGGGAAGAGAAUGACGGUACCUGAGUAAGAAGCCCCGGCUAACUACGUGCCAGCCGCCGCGGUAAUACGUAGGGGGCAAGCGUUAUCCGGAUUUACUGGGUGUAAAGGGAGCGUAGACGGCGAAGAAAGUCUGAAGUGAAAGCCCGCGGCUCAACCGCGGAACUGCUUUGGAAACUUUUUUGCUGGAGUACCGGAGAGGUAAGCGGAAUGCCUAGUGUAGCGGUGAAAUGCGUAGAUAUUAGGAGGAACACCAGUGGCGAAGGCGGCUUACUGGACGGUAACUGACGUUGAGGCUCGAAAGCGUGGGGAGCAAACAGGAUUAGAUACCCUAGUAGUC
rnacentral:rRNA from 1 species